rnacentral:rRNA from 1 species
UACGUAGGGUGCGAGCGUUGUCCGGAAUUACUGGGCGUAAAGAGCUCGUAGGCGGCUUGUCACGUCGAUUGUGAAAGCCCGAGGCUUAACCUCGGGUCUGCAGUCGAUACGGGCUAGCUAGAGUGUGGUAGGGGAGAUCGGAAUUCCUGGUGUAGCGGUGAAAUGCGCAGAUAUCAAGGAGGAACACCGGUGGCGAAGGCGG